CGGCUGCGGGCGGCACGGCCCGGCCCGGCCCGGCCCGCGGGGGACACGCGGGACGGGGCGGGCGCGGGGGGCUCGGCGGGACCCCCUCCCGCCGCUGCCCCGGGGCGGGGUCGCGCCGCUCCCCGCGGGGCACGGCCGGACGCGGGCCCGGCUGGAACUUUGCCGGGGGUUGGGGCGCAAAGAACUAAAAAAAAAACAAACCAAAAACUCCCCCCGAAACUGUUAAAAAAGCUUUUUUUGGGGGGAGCGCGGCGGCACCGGCAGCCGCCCCGGGGAGCCGCGGCACAAAGGCGGCCCCGGGGCUGGGGCCGGGCGGUGACAGCGCGGGGGACCGGGGGGCGGCGGGCGGGCCCCCGGGAGCGGGAGCGGGGCCGGUUCCCACGUGGGUGCGGGGCGCCCCGGCCGCCCCCCGCUGCCUUCUCCUCCCGGGUUUUGUUGGAUUUUUCCCCCCACCCUCGACUAUUAAUAAUUUUUAAAUCUUUCUUUCUUUUGAGCCGCGCCCGCCCCCCGCAGGUGGGGCUCGGGGUUGAUUUUUUUUUCUUCUUCUUUUUUAUUUUUUUAUUUCUUUUUUUUUUUUUUUUCUUUUUUUUUUUCUCCCGUUUCUCUUUUUUUAAAGCGAACGCGGGGACCCGUUCCGGCCGCGCCGGCCCGGCGCGGAGUCUGCGCGCCUCCGCACGUAUAAAAUAGUUUUAUACAUGUAAAAGAAAAUGCUGGUGUAACCAAAGAAUAAUUCGCCAAAAUAAUUUAAAAUAUUCAAGAAAAUCUAAUUGGCAGCCAGCUUUUGCUUUUUUUUUUUUCUUUUCCCCUCGCUGGUUGCUCGCUUUGUACAGGAAAUUUGAAUAUCCUGGCAAGGGCCAACUUCCCAGGGCAGCCUCGCAGCUCUCGGGGAGCUGCAGUGAUGGAGCAACAUGCACAGCGCUGAGACUUUUCCCUCUCUAAUUGAUUCUACAUACAGUAUUUUCCCCGUAUACACAUCGGGUCUAUAAAACAAUUUUUUUGUGUUUGGAGAGUGAGUUUUCCAAGGUUAGAUCAUUAAUUGCUCCCCCCAAAAAACAGAAAUUCUGCUUGUGUGUCUUAUGCGUGUUAAGUGUAGGUGAGGGGCCAUCUGCCGAGUUUCAUCAUCUUCUGUUCUGAAGAAAUCCAAAGAACUCACCGGCAACUGCAAAAGUCUGUAUUUAGUUAAUCGACUUUGGUGGGAAACAAAGUUGGACUCAGCUGCUAAUGCAGUAAAUGCUUAUGAAAUAUUAGAGGGAAGCUUUAAGUAAUACUUCGUGCAAACUUAACCCAAAUCUAAAAAGGAAAGAAAAAAUUCAGUGUGCUUGUUAUGUUUUGAAUUAUUCUUCAUCUGACCAAAAAAAGAAAUAGGUUUUUUUGUUUGUUUUUUAUUCCUGUUCUUAACAAAUAAACUUAAUAGAAAUUGGGCUUCCAGAUCUGACCCUUGUUGUUAAGAACUGGAUGAGAUGACAAUGCUAAAACUUGGAAGUAACAAAAAGCAUCAUACUUUUCUUUUCCUCAGCAGUGUUGAGAAAAAACUAUGGAUCCUGGAAUUUUACUGUGGAUUUUACUGGUUUUCUGGAGUGCUCUCCCACUGAAGCAGCGAUCUGGUUGUCCAGAGAGUCUGUGCAGGAGCUGAUGUGCCUGUGCUCAGAGGUGAGUUGGGAAGGUAAGCUCGUGUCCCACCUGCUCCAAAAUACCUGCAUCAUCUGCAUCCCUCUGGGAAAAUGCAGGUCCCUCUGGCACACAUAUCCCUUCUUGGGUACCGCAGGUAAUACUUAGGAGGCGUUCAGGUGAACUCAGAUUUCCCUGUUCAGCUGCCCAUUUCUGAUGUAAAGUUGAGUUUCCAGAGCACAAACUAAGUUUGAAAGAAGCUGAAGUGGGAGAUGGGGUAAUUCAAACAUGGAACUUUUUAUUGCAUGAAAUAUUGAUGCUGUCAUGUCAUAAAUGUGCAUAUUUUCUCAGAUACGUAUUUCACUGCCUAUCCCAAAUUUCCAGUUGCCCAAUACUUGGUGUGACUGUUGAUUUUCCCUCUAUGCUAGAGGCUGGUGGAGGUGUAUUGAAUCCUUCCUUUGAAAAGUCCUCCUUACUAAAGAGAGCUCUUGCCCUUGUUGUUGAACUAGGCAAAAGUUUGGUUUAUAUAAAUAUAAAAACAUUAAUUAAAACGUGAACCUCAAGCACUAUCAAAAUGGAUUCUAAAGCUGAACGUGUUUGCUGUUGCUUUUUUCUUUUGGAUUCAUUUGAAGAGAUGAAAUAAAUAAGAUUGCACAGGUAGAGUCAAGUAAAACAUUGUUGCAGAAGUAAUUAAUGGUAAUAUUAUGCGGGGGGCUGUUUUGAUUUAGCUCGUGCAGGCUUAACACUGGGUACAUGUUUGCUUUGCAGCAAGUAGCAGCUGCUCAUUAGGGAGUUGGCCCUGGUGCUGUCAGUGUUGAGGACACUGAAGUGGUGAAAAUAUACUACUUUUUUGUUGGCAAAUAUUUGAUUUCAAAUUUUAAAUCGCUUGGCAUGGGUCACAAGAGCUUUUGAAAUAACUAUUUUUAAGUUUGCUAAAGAGGCAGGGACCCGGUGGAGCAUUGGGCACGAGGGGAUGGCACAAGAAUUCGAACCCAAGGCGUCAUUUCUGACAUUGUUGAGUUUUUUUUGUGAUGCUGCUUUUUAAGAAAAUGAAUUGAAGGAAGUUGUCCCAUAACUGGUGGAGCGGGGGGGGGAAGGUUGAAAGGAAAUACAAAAAAAAAUACAGUCUGUCUGCAUGGCUCCUGUGCAGCCCAGACAGGCUGGUGUGCAAGUGCCACUGGCAGCUUCUGCAGGGCUGCAGCCCCUCCCUGCCCUGCCCUGCUGCUUUCUGCUCUGGUACAGGCAGGGAAUGUGAUGAAGUUCCAGAGAUUAUUAAUUUCUGGUCAUAGAAGGCUUGUCCAUUCACAUAAUAAAUAAGCGUGAUUUGCUCUUUUUAAAAAUAAGGAUUUUUUACAUAUCUCUAAAGUGAAAUUUAGGUGAAUUAAAGUAUUUUAAGGAAAAUUUAACAGGUUUCAACUAUUGGAAUAUGAAUUUAUUUUUCUGAAAUGUUAACAUUGUGACUUCUGGGAAAUCCUGGAUGUUCAGCAUCACCUAAGAGGAAAGUACAAGGUAAUAUUUCCCCACAGACCAGUUGGAAAGGCUGGGAAGUUCUGCAGGCUCUUCACAGCAGCAAAAGCAACAGAUCUUCUGGAUCUGAAAGUGUAUUAUUUGCUGGGACCCGAUACUAAGUGUGGUUUGGGGGGAACAGUUAAUUUCUGACCUUGUUUCUGAAAUUGGUUUGUUUGCACUGUAUAACUGCUUGUUCUCUUAUAGUUACAGACUGUCUGGUAUCACCUGUGGAAAAAAAAAAGCCUGUCCUGUGGUGGUAAUGCAUGCAUGUUAAAUGUCUUCAUUGUAGAGUGUUCUUCAGUUCUUUAUAUCCUGGUUUAAAAAAAAAUUAUAUAUAUACAUAUAUAUUCAAAAUACCAUUUGGAAUGUCAACAUUCAGUGGGCUUUGAGGAGAUGUAGCAGCACAUCAUGGUUUGUAGGGACAAGGAGAUACAGACCAUUCUGGGCUGCCUCAUUACCUCAAGGAUAAGACAAGAAAGUGAGCUUCUGGUUAUCAUAGAUGUGGAAGCUAACACAUUCCCAUGUAUCUCAUUAGUUCAGGUAUGUGCAGACACGUUCUCUUGGUGCUUGGACUGUGCACAUCCCUUACAUCCCCUGGGAGCUCGUGUGUCUGGCCCUGCAGGCAGGAAGGGCUUGUAGCUCCUUUUUGUUCUCCAACGUGGGCAUGACCACAUCCUAUACUAUAUCUACCCUCAGCUAUUGCUCUUCGGGCCUUUCCCUGGCAGAGGAUCAGCCAAGGGACCCGUGCCCUGUGUUUGGGGCAGAGAGGGGGGUCUGGAGGCCGUGGAGAGCUGUCAGCAGUGCUCUAGCAGCACGUAAAUACUGGAGUUUGGGAUUGCCUGUUGCUCUCCAGUAUUGCAUUGCUGCUUUAGUGAGGCUGGAAAUUGGUCUCUGCUGCAGGGCUCUGGCUCUUGGGGUCCCUCCGUGGCACCCCCACGGUGUUCCCCACACUGCAGGGGGCUCCUGGCUCCCACCCCAAUAAACCACUGCGGAGGCAGCAACCAA